CCUCAAUUCCAUUUCAAUUCCACCUUUUUGUCUUCUGUGAAGCCUUCUGCAAGCUUUCAAAGACCUUCGUUUUCCAUCUAAAAUGGAGGACACAAGGUCUAAAUGCAUUUAAAAUCAUCAAAGCACUCAGAGAAUGCCGCAAAGUACGAAACCACUGAAAAUGCUCCGUUCUUCAGGGAGCUAAUUGCCUGAGUCGUGAAAGCACGGUAAGCAUUCUCUUUGUUGCAAGUCUCUGCAACGUUAUUUGAACACAAUUACGGGCCGUGCUUUCAGCAAGCAUGUUGACACCGUCACAGACGGUGGUUUCAGACGUUCUACCGUGCUGCUGUGUGCAGGGCAGCAGUACUGGCAUCACCAGCCGCGGCCACGCUGCCCCUUUCGGCACUGUGAAGCAUGCAGUGAGCUUCCCCAUGCUAUAACUUUGUUUUCACAAGUUCAUGAGCUCUUCAAACAAAGCCUGCUAUUUCACUGUGUGCCUGAACACAAGUUGGAAAAUGGGGAACGAGUCAGUGAUCAGCACUCAGGAUAACAUCAGUGCAUAGAGCUAAUAGCCAGGUCAUCAUGUUUGUCAGAGGAGACUUCGCAUCUUUCUACAAAUUGAGUGAAGAGUGGAAACAAGCAAGAACCUGGACGCUGUUCAUCGGCGCUGUAAUUAAAGAUCUGUAUUUCUACAGAACGGGUAAGCCAGCUUUGGCAGAAUUAAAAAUUCCGCAUCAGAAAGAAUCUCCAGGACCGUGGUGAUAAACUUAACUAAGUGAUAAUCUAGGUGUUAAAAAUGAGGAAAAAAAUGAUUUUAAACAUUAUCGCUGAUCAGACUGAGCUCACAUCUCAGCUAUUCAUACAGCCUUUAAUAAACUUCAGCCUUCAAUACACCUUUUAAUAAACCUGUGAACUUCU